GGCGUCGUCCCACUCCACGACAUGGGCGGCGUACAUCCAAAAGGAGGUCAAUCAUUUCCGUCUGACUCACGGUGCGGCAGUGUGGAGACCUGUCGUAAUGCCUCCGCGAAAAAGCACGCGGCGGCGAGGCAGAAUUUGCGGAGGCUGUUCUGUCAGAGUCGAGCACAAUGGCA
rnacentral:ncRNA from 1 species